rnacentral:rRNA from 1 species
CCCGUUGAUCCUGCGGGAGGCUGCUGCUAGUGGAGUUCGACUAAGCCAUGCAAGUACGGGUCCGCAAGGAUACCGGCAGACUGCUCAGUAACACGUCGAUAAUCUAACCAUCGGUCUGGAAUAACCUUGGGAAACUGAGGAUAACACCGGAUAGGAAAUAGGUACCUGAAUGUCCUAUUUUUAAAAGGAAACGCCCAUGGAUGAGUCGGCGGCAGAUUAGGUAGUUGGUGAGGUAAUGGCUCACCAAGCCGAAGAUCUGUAGGGGCCCUGAAAGGGGGAGCCCCGAGAAGGGCACUGAGAUACUGGCCCUAGCCCUACGGGGUGCAGCAGGCGCGAAAACCUUACAAUGCACUAACGUGUGAUAAGGGAACUCCACGUGCUUCACUAAGUGAGGCUUUUGCCAACGGCAAAUACGUUGGCGAAUAAGUGGUGGGUAAGACUGGUGCCAGCCGCCGCGGUAACACCAGCGCCACGAGUGGGAGCCACGAUUAUUGGGCCUAAAGCGUCCGUAGCCGAUCGAGUAAAUUUCUUGUGAAAUUGUCCUGCUUAACAGGUCAACGUGCAGGAAACACUGCUCGACUUGGGACUGGGAGGGGUUAGGAGUAUCAUGGGGGUAGCGGUAAAAUGUUAUAAUCCCUAUGAGACUACCGGUGGCGAAGGCGCCUAACCAGAACAGAUCCGACGGUGAGGGACGAAAGCUAAGGGAGCAAAUCGGAUUAGAUACCCGAGUAGUCUUAGCCGUAAACACUGCCAGCAAGAUGUUGCAUAUUCUUCGUGAAUGUGCGGUAUCGAAGAGAAGUCGCUAAGCUGGCCGCCUGGGAAGUAUGGUCGCAAGGCUGAAACUUAAAGGAAUUGGCGGGGGAGCACUACAAGGGGUGCGGCGUGCGGUUUAAUCCGACUCAACGCGGAAAAUCUCACCAGGAGCGACGGCAGAAUGAAAGUCAGAUUAAAGGUUUUACUUGACGAGCCGAGAGGUAGUGCAUGGCCGUCGUCAGCUCGUUCCGUAAGGUGUCCUGUUAAGUCAGGUAACGAGCGAGACCUGUACCUACAAUUGCCAGCAGGCCAGAGAUGGUGACUGGGCGCAUUGUGGGGACUGCCCUGGAAACAGGGAGGAAGGUGCAGGCUACGAUAGGUCUGUAUGCUCCGAAUCUUCUGGGCUACACGCGCGCAACAAUGGUAGUGACAAUGGGAUGCAACUCCGAAAGGAGAAGCUAAUCCUCGAAACACUACCCUAGUACAGAUUGAGGAUUGUAACUCAUCCUCAUGACGUUGGAAUCCCU